rnacentral:rRNA from 1 species
UACAGAGGUCUCAACCGUUGUUCGGAUUCAUUGGGCGUAAAGGGCGCGUAGGCGGCGCGGUAAGUCACUUGUGAAAUCUCUGAGCUUAACUCAGAACGGCCAAGUGAUACUGCAGUGCUAGAGUGUGGAAGGGGCAAUCGGAAUUCUUGGUGUAGCGGUGAAAUGCGUAGAUAUCAAGAGGAACACCUGAGGUGAAGACGGGUUGCUGGGCCAACACUGACGCUGAUGCGCGAAAGCCAGGGGAGCAAACGGG